AGAGUUUGAUCCUGGCUCAGGAUGAACGCUGGCGGCGUGCCUAAUACAUGCAAGUCGAACGAGUUCUGAUUAUUGAAAGGUGCUUGCAUCUUGAUUUAAUUUUGAACGAGUGGCGGACGGGUGAGUAACACGUGGGUAACCUGCCCUUAAGUGGGGGAUAACAUUUGGAAACAGAUGCUAAUACCGCAUAAAUCCAAGAACCGCAUGGUUCUUGGCUGAAAGAUGGCGUAAGCUAUCGCUUUUGGAUGGACCCGCGGCGUAUUAGCUAGUUGGUGAGGUAACGGCUCACCAAGGCAAUGAUACGUAGCCGAACUGAGAGGUUGAUCGGCCACAUUGGGACUGAGACACGGCCCAAACUCCUACGGGAGGCAGCAGUAGGGAAUCUUCCACAAUGGACGCAAGUCUGAUGGAGCAACGCCGCGUGAGUGAAGAAGGCUUUCGGGUCGUAAAACUCUGUUGUUGGAGAAGAAUGGUCGGCAGAGUAACUGUUGUCGGCGUGACGGUAUCCAACCAGAAAGCCACGGCUAACUACGUGCCAGCAGCCGCGGUAAUACGUAGGUGGCAAGCGUUAUCCGGAUUUAUUGGGCGUAAAGCGAGCGCAGGCGGUUUUUUAAGUCUGAUGUGAAAGCCCUCGGCUUAACCGAGGAAGUGCAUCGGAAACUGGGAAACUUGAGUGCAGAAGAGGACAGUGGAACUCCAUGUGUAGCGGUGAAAUGCGUAGAUAUAUGGAAGAACACCAGUGGCGAAGGCGGCUGUCUGGUCUGUAACUGACGCUGAGGCUCGAAAGCAUGGGUAGCGAACAGGAUUAGAUACCCUGGUAGUCCAUGCCGUAAACGAUGAAUGCUAGGUGUUGGAGGGUUUCCGCCCUUCAGUGCCGCAGCUAACGCAUUAAGCAUUCCGCCUGGGGAGUACGACCGCAAGGUUGAAACUCAAAAGGAAUUGACGGGGGCCCGCACAAGCGGUGGAGCAUGUGGUUUAAUUCGAAGCAACGCGAAGAACCUUACCAGGUCUUGACAUCUUUUGAUCACCUGAGAGAUCAGGUUUCCCCUUCGGGGGCAAAAUGACAGGUGGUGCAUGGUUGUCGUCAGCUCGUGUCGUGAGAUGUUGGGUUAAGUCCCGCAACGAGCGCAACCCUUAUGACUAGUUGCCAGCAUUUAGUUGGGCACUCUAGUAAGACUGCCGGUGACAAACCGGAGGAAGGUGGGGAUGACGUCAAAUCAUCAUGCCCCUUAUGACCUGGGCUACACACGUGCUACAAUGGAUGGUACAACGAGUUGCGAGACCGCGAGGUCAAGCUAAUCUCUUAAAGCCAUUCUCAGUUCGGACUGUAGGCUGCAACUCGCCUACACGAAGUCGGAAUCGCUAGUAAUCGCGGAUCAGCACGCCGCGGUGAAUACGUUCCCGGGCCUUGUACACACCGCCCGUCACACCAUGAGAGUUUGUAACACCCGAAGCCGGUGGCGUAACCCUUUUAGGGAGCGAGCCGUCUAAGGUGGGACAAAUGAUUAGGGUGAAGUCGUAACAAGGUAGCCGUAGGAGAACCUGCGGCUG
rnacentral:rRNA from 1 species